rnacentral:rRNA from 1 species
CGUAGUUGGAUUUCUGCCGAGGACGACCGGUCCGCCCACUGGGUGUGUAUCUGGCUCGGCCUGGGCAUCUUCUUGGAGAACGCACUGCACUUCAUUGUGUGGUGCGGUAUUCAGGACUUUUACUUUGAGGAAAUUAGAGUGUUUCAAGCAGGCACACGCCUUGAAUACGUUAGCAUGGAAUAAUAAGAUAGGAUCUUGGUUCUAUUUUGUUGGUUUCUAGAACUGAGGUAAUGA